GAGGAUGUCUUAAACAAUAUUAAA
rnacentral:siRNA from 1 species